GUGCCUGUAGUUCAGUUGGCAUAGAACACCUGACUUUUAAUCAGGGGGUCAUGGGUUCGAGUCCCAUCAGGCACACCA
rnacentral:tRNA from 1 species